rnacentral:lncRNA from 1 species
GUACAUAUUCAUUAUUGGAAGAAUAUGAACAUGCUAUUGGUAUUGAAUAUACCACACUCACCUCUAGAAGGGGGUUUGAGAUGAUAUAAGAAAAUAAUGUCAUUAUUAUGGCAUGAAUGGUCAUUGGUCACGUACCUAUUGUAAGCCAAAAUAUUUUGAUAAUGUGAUUAUUAAAGGACAAUAAUAAUGCAAGAAACAUAUCUUGCAUAUAAUUUUGACCAUGAACAUAAUGGUACAACUUUCUCUUUGAAAGAAAUAUUCACUAUAUGGGUAUUGAU